CGAAGCUGAUGGAUCACACCGCGUGCAGGAUGAAGGCUUCGGGUCGUAAACUGCUUUACUAGUGACGAAUAUGACGGUAACUAGAGAAUAAGGAUCGGCUAACUACGUGCCAGCAGCCGCGGUCAUACGUAGGAUCCAAGCAUUAUCCGGAAUUACUGGGCGUAAAGAGUUGCGUCAGGUGGCAUUAGCAAGCAGAACAUGAAAUACGUGUGGCUCAACUAUACGGCUAUGUUCUGAACUGCAAAGCUAGAGAACAAGAGGGGUAGAUGGA
rnacentral:rRNA from 1 species